CCAGUGUGGAUCCCCAAGAGGCACUUUACCUGGGCUUUGUCCAAGUGGUAUAUGAGAAUGUAGGUUCUUUUCUACAUCAUUGGAAAAGAAGCUGGGCUUUGUGUUUGUAUCUGUAUAUUCUUACUUUCUUGGAGAUCUGUGGGCAAUGGCUGAGGAGACAAACCUUGCAGGAAACAGCC
rnacentral:snoRNA from 1 species